rnacentral:rRNA from 1 species
GUGUCAGCCGCCGCGGUAAUACGUAGGUGGCAAGCGUUGUCCGGAUUUACUGGGCGUAAAGAGCCCGCAGGCGGUCCAAUAAGUUCUUGGUGAAAUCUCCUGGCUCAACUGGGAGGGUGCCUGGAAAACUAUUGGACUUGAGGCAGGGAGAGGGAUGUGGAAUUCCCGGUGUAGUGGUGAAAUGCGUAGAUAUCGGGAGGAACACCAGUGGCGAAGGCGGCAUCCUGGCCCUGUCCUGACGCUCAGGGGCGAAAGCGUGGGGAGCAAACCGGAUUAGAUACCCCUGUAGUCC